AUACAGUUGCCAUGGCCACCCCCUUGAGAGGUUUUCCCAGAAUUCACUGCCUUUAGAUCACGCUGAGUUUCCUUUUCUUUUUUUUUUCUGUGCACAGGGUGGUGAACUUUCCCAGCAGCUGGACAUGGAGCCUGGAACAGGCAUGCAGCUCGAGGCCCUAAACCAGGCUUUGCAAGAAGAGCUGUCCACUCUGCUUGGGAAGUGUGAACAACUGGAGAAGAGCAAAUGUCAGCUGCAAGAAGAGGUGACAAAACUCCACCACCAUUUGGAGGCUUUGGUGCUGGAUGGCAGCCAAAGAGAACAGUGUACAGGAGAGGUGGCAGAAGGAGCUGACCAGGAAAGAAGUGCAAAGCUACAAGAGGUCAGCCUCGUUUUGCAAGCACAGGCAGCCCACCAGGCCCCACUAGGACAAAUUGAAGACAGUCAUUGUGAAUCCAUGAGAAUACAGUUGGAAGAAAGGAUUAGAAAUCUUGAAAGUGAAUUGGACAGAAUCAAAAACACCCAACAAGAGAGUGCUUCUCGUAAAGAAGCAACACAGGGAGGGAUGGAAAUGUACAAAGAGCUGUAUGUGGAGGAAGUGAAAACCAGAAGAUGCCUUGCCAAGAAACUGGAAAGGCUGGAAAAGCUUCUGAGGAUAGAGAGUAGGAAACUCCGG